rnacentral:rRNA from 1 species
AGGUAGGGAUACCCGCUGAACUUAAGCAUAUCAUAAAGCCGGAGGG